rnacentral:rRNA from 1 species
UACAGAGGCCCCGAGCGUUAAUCGGAAUUACUGGGCUUAAAGGGUGCGUAGGCGGACCAGAAAGUGCUUUGUGAAAGCCCCCGGCUCAACCGGGGAACUGCGGGGCAUACUGCUGGUCUUGAGGCAAGUAAGGGUUGCGAGAACUGUAGGUGGAGCGGUGAAAUGCGUAGAUAUCUACAGGAAUGCCGAUGGUGAAGACGCGCAACUGGGCUUGUCCUGACGCUGAGGCACGAAAGCGGGGGGAGCAAACAGG